UACGGGGGGGGCAAGCGUUGUUCGGAAUUACUGGGCGUAAAGGGCUCGUAGGCGGCCAACUAAGUCGGACGUGAAAUCCCCAGGCUCAACCUGGGAACUGCGUCCGAUACUGGAUGGCUUGAAUUCGGGAGAGGGAUGCAGAAUUCCAGGUGUAGCGGUGAAAUGCGUAGAUAUCUGGAGGAAUACCGGUGGCGAAGGCGGCAUCCUGGACCGACAUUGACGCUGAUGUGCGAAAGCUAGGGUAGCAAACGGG
rnacentral:rRNA from 1 species